rnacentral:misc_RNA from 1 species
GAUGAAGAACGUAGCGAAACGCGAUAUGUAAUGUGAAUUGCAGAAUUCAGUGAAUCAUCGAAUCUUUGAACGCACAUGGCGCCUUCAAGUAUCCUGGGAGGCAUGCCUGUCCGAGCGUCGUUUCAACCCUCGAGCCCCCGUGGCCCGGCGUUGGGGAUCUGCCACGGCAGGCCCCUAAAACCAGUGGCGGACCCGAAGGCCCUCUCCUUUGCGCAGUAGCAUCAGCCUCGCAUUGGGAUCCCUCGGCGUCCUGCCUCUAAACCCCCCACAAGUCCGCUCCGGCGGCACCAAGGUUGACCUCGGAUCAGGUAGGAAUACCCGCUGAACUUAAGCAUAUCAAUAAGCGGAGGA